rnacentral:rRNA from 1 species
UACCUGCAGCUCGAGUGGUGAUCGUUAUUAUUGGGCCUAAAACGUCCGUAGCCGGUCUUAUAAAUGCUUGGGUAAAUCGUAUGGCUUAACCAUACGAAUUCCGGGUAGACUGUUUGACUUGAGACCGGGAGAAGCUAGAGGUACUCCUGGGGUAGAAGUGAAAUUCUGUAAUCCUAGGGGGACCACCAGUGGCGAAGGCGUCUAGCUAGAACGGGUCUGACGGUGAGGGACGAAGCCCUGGGGCGCAAACGGGAUUAGAUACCCCGGUAGUCCAGGGUGUAAACGCUGCUUGCUUGAUGUUAGUCUGGCUCCGAGCCAGAUUAGUGUCGGAGAGAAGUUGUUAAGCAAGCUGCCUGGGAAGUACGGCCGCAAGACUGAAACUUAAAGGAAUAGGGCGGGGGAGCACAGCAACGGGUGGAGCGUGCGGUUU